ensembl:snoRNA
CUUCACAUGAUGAAUUUAUAUGUUCAACUGCUGAGUGAUUACAGACAUGAACUAAAACCUAAUUCUGACAGAA